rnacentral:rRNA from 1 species
AGUAACACGUUGGAACCUGCCCCGAACUCAGGGAUAACCCGCCGAAAGGCGGGCUAAUACCGGAUGGUCCCGCAAGGGUAAAGCUUUUGCGGUUCGGGAGGGGCCUGCGGCCUAUCAGUUUGUUGGUAAGGUAACGGCUUACCAAGACUAUGACGGGUAACUGGUCUGAGAGGACGACCAGUCAGAAUGGGACUGAGACACGGCCCAUACUCCUACGGGAGGCAGCAGUGAGGAAUCUUCCGCAAUGGGCGAAAGCCUGACGGAGCGACACCGCGUGAAGGAUGACACCCUUUCCGGGCGUAAACUUCUGUUCUGAGGGACGAAAUUUUUGACGGUAUCUCAGGAGAAAGCACCGGCUAAUUCCGUGCCAGCAGCCGCGGUAAGACGGAAGGUGCAAGCGUUACUCGGAAUUACUGGGCGUAAAGCGUCCGCAGCCGUUCCGCGAAGUCCGGCGUAAAAGCACAGAGCUCAACUCUGUUGUAUGUGCUAGAAACUGGCGGAAUUGAGUCACCCAGAGGCAUCUGGAAUACCGUGUGUAGGGGUAAAAUCCGUUGAUCCACGGUAGAACGCCGAAAGCGAAAGCAGGAUGCUGGGGGUGUACUGACGGUCAGGGACGAAAGCGUGGGGAGCGAACGGGAUUAGAUACCCCGGUAGUCCACGCCCUAAACGAUGCGUGCUCGGUGUUGGGACUUUUCAAUUGGUCUCAGUGCCUUAAGCUUACGCGGUAAGCACGCCGCCUGGGAAGUACGGCCGCAAGGCUAAAACUCAAAGGAAUAGACGGGGACCCACACAAGCGGUGGA